UCAGGACAGGUUCAAGACAACUUCAAUACCAUCCUAGAGUCCACCUCUCAUCUCCAGUCACAAGCCUACUCAAUGUGAAGACAAUGGAAAUGCACUGGAAAGUCUCCCUGCAUCUGUUCACUCUCAGUGAAAACUUCAGUAAGUACCUGCUUACAUUUUUUGGUAUAAUGUACAGUUUUAUACCUCUUUUCUGUAGGAGAUUAAUCCAAUAGAGCCUGAACUGUUAGACUAUCAUUGAUUGAAACACUAGUUCCUAACUCUUGUUUUUUAUUUCAUUGAUUUGAAUCUUAUAUUUAUUAUAUGCUUCUUUUGUUGUUGCUCUUUUCCUAACUUCUCACUUCAUUAGCGUAAUUCAAUUUUUUUAUUUCAGCAUAUUAUGAGGGUACAAAUUUUAAG